UUUUAAAAGCCUCCCCAAUAUAUUUUAUAUGUGACAUUUUCAUAAACCCCACGGACUAACAAUAAACCCCAGCGUUAAUUACUACAUAACUAAAACUCUUUCAAAAUCCAAUAGUCACUCGAAGAGAGGGAACCGAAGAGUGAGAGGGAACCGAAACCCUAAGCUCGUGAUAGACAUCUCCACCGCCAUUUUCGUCGCCGCCUCCGCCGCCGCCUCCGCCGCCAUUGCUGCCAUCGCUGCUGCUAGAGUUCAUCUCUUUUCUGCUUCUACCAUAAAGCUAUUGAGAUCGAGCCAAGGCGCCUCCUUCAUCAACGCGUUUCCAGACCUAAUCGCAACAUCCAAGUAUUUGAGAUCAAGAGAAAGUGCCUCUUCGGUCAACUCUCCCCGCCAAUGACGCUCGUGUUCUCCAUCGGCAUUCUAUCCCUCCUAAAUAGCUAUGUUGGAUGAGGUGUUUGUUAAAUCUCAAAUUGGCUACGUCUAUGAUCACAUAAACUGCACCUCUUCUGCUGAAUGAAGAUGAUUAUCACAUGAUGCUUAGGUUUUUUCCCAAGACAACUGUGGAUGUUUUUGCAUUAGUGCUGGAAUCUGGCGGCAGUAAGCUUUUAUUUCAUAAUGUAUUUCUGUUUACUUGAUAAGAGAUGAUGUAUUCAAUGGUUAGAAACUAAGGAUGAUAAUUUUCUAAAUAUAAGUUACCUAAAAGCAAUAUAAAAAUGAAGUUAUGUUAAUUGUUCUUUCAGAACCAAGGUUUGAAUUUCACUAACAGAGUCCAAAAUAUGUCAAAUGCCUUAGAAGGAUUAGCUUAGUCCAAAAUGAAAUUUUGAUUUACUAUCAAACUUGAUCUUCUGCAAUCUUCUAGUUAAUUUUGAUUACCCCCAAAAAUUACACGUUUCUUUAGUUUUUUUAAUGAUUGCAGUCCUGUCUCAGUAAGAAUCUUGUCAUUGAUUCUAUUUUUGAGGAGGGAAACUCCCAAGAUGGAAGCUUGAUGAUUACGUGCAUGCCUUCUCGCUAUGAUUAACGAGGGAAUGCAGCUUUGCCUUGACGUUUGUGCAAAACUUGCAAAGAUUAUGAGGUCGUGUUUGAAAGAAAUUGCUUCUGAUUCUCAGGAAUAGAAUGCGGGUGCGAAAGUAAAUGUUAGUGCCGGUGGAACAACUCCUUUACACAUUGCAGCUGAUUAUAUUACAAUGCUAUAAUUAAAUUAUCUUUUAGAAAGUAAUAUUAAGAAAUUUGAAGUACCAGAGACCAUAGAACAACGCAUUCUAGAAGCUGCUGUGCCUGGGGAGGCAAUCAGAUUUGCUGUUACAGCAUAUACACUGGGUAAUGCUGAUAGAGAAGCAAAAUCAUAUGAUUCCUCCAUGGUAAAUGUUGGAGAUAAUAGUGGUGGUAUUGCAAACGAGGUGUCAAUACUUUGGCAUGCAAAUUUUGAGGAAUUUAUACGGCAUCUUAGGCAUAAGCGUAUGUUAUCUAUCAAGGGCUUAAAGUUUUCUCAACAAUCUUCUAAAAGGUGUUCUUGCUUCUAUUAUUUUCAUUCAUGGGGCAAAUCACCACUUCUGUGGCAGAACCUGUGUCUCAAGAAGCUUCAACUGAUGAUGAAAUUUUUAUAUACCAGAGCUUGAUCUUUGACGAUGGUCUCAAGGAUUUGAAAAAUCUCAGAUCACAGUUAUACUCAGCUGCCGAGUAUUUUGAACUUUCAUACCCCAAUGAUGACCAAAAAUAAAUAGACAUUAAAGGAUUAUGCGAUUAAAGCUCUUGUGAAUAUUGUGGAUCAUUUAGAUUAUUGGAGGCAUCAACUUGGGUUUGUUGAUUUGAGGUGCUGAGAAUAAAUAUGUUUUUAGGCAUAGAAUCAUUUCAUAUUCUUUUAUUUAUAGGAUCCAGGAUGUCAUAAAAUAUAUGGUUACUAGGAAGUGAAAAAAACUUAGAAAUUCAUGUCGGUCCUUUUUUAAUGCUUCUGUAUACUCUUAAGUUGACGUCCUUCAUUAUUGAUUUAAGUGUUUGUAUCGAUUUAUGUAGAAUAGAAGUUUGCAUUUAGAUGUUAAUCUCAUGAGAAUUUCACAUGUUUA